UAUAUUUUAGUAUAAAAUGUACAUUAAUUUUUGAUAUUAGUAGAAACAGGCUAAUCCUGUUAAAUAUAGUCUUAA
rnacentral:tRNA from 1 species